AAAGAUUUAGUUUAAAAUAAAACAUUAAUUUGUCAAAUUAAAAUUAUUACAUUAAUAAUCUUUA
rnacentral:tRNA from 1 species